CUAUAUAGUCAUGAUAGUAUAACAGAGAUUGUUAUAGUAUCAUGAUUUUAUCGUUUUACUGAUAAAUAGAUUUUAAAAAAGAAAUAUUCAAUCUCAAGUAGAUGGCGGUUUUAAAAGAAAUUUUAUAUAUUACCGAGUGUUACUGAUGGGGAUUCCUCUUCUUCAAGAAGCAAAAAUACUCCCUGCAAUUGUACGAAAUUAACUUAUUGUCCGUAUUAUGUGGUGACUCUGUAUAACUUUGGGCUGAUCCCACGGGUUCGUCCUGGUGACGUGUCUUCAAAGUGUCUGCCCUAUCAACUGUCAAUGGUAGGUUAUGCAUCUACUAUGGUCGCAAUGGGUGGCAGGGAAUCAUGUUCGAUUCCCGAAAGAGAGCCUGAUAAACGGCUACUAUAUCCAAGGAACUCAUCAGGCGCGCAAAUCACCCACUCCCAGAACGAGGAGGUAGUGACGAAAAAUAACAAUACUUUCUUAUAAGGUCCAUGACAAUACGGGACUUAUAUGAAACUCCGUUGAUUGGAAUAAGUGCACUCUUAAUCUUUUAAGGAGGAUCAACUGGGGGUAAGUGGAGGACAACUGAAAUUAGGCGGCCAGCAGCAGCGGUAAUUCCAGCCGUAACAGCGCAGGGAUAAAUCUUUUAAGUCCUGGUAACAGCGUACAUUAAAGUUGUUGCGGUUAAAAAGCUCGUAGCUGUAUCUUAGUUCCAGACGGGUGGUCCGCCUACAGGUGGUUACUGCCUGUUCUGAACAGCUAACCGGUUUCCUUUGAUGAUCUUCAGCGGUUGUCUUGGGUGACUGGCAAGUUUACUUCGAAAAAAAUUAGAGUUCUCGUAUGUCUCUUAAAUCGACGAAGUAAACAUUAAGAGAACCGAAAUGAAAAGCCGAAGAACCACAAGUCUG
rnacentral:ncRNA from 1 species